UUUCCGUAGGUGAACCUGCGGAAGGAUCAUUACAGAGCUUCGAAGCCUAAGGAAAAGCAGCCGAAAGGUGAACUAUCCUUAGGAUUGAGAUCUCCACCCUUUGUUUACAUUACCUUUGUUGCUUUAGCAGGCCCGCUCUCGGGCCGCCGGCUUAGGCUGGCCAGUGCCUGCUAGAGGACCUAAAACUCUUGUUAAUAAUAUUGUCUGAGUACUAUAUAAUAGUUAAAACUUUCAACAACGGAUCUCUUGGUUCUG
rnacentral:misc_RNA from 1 species